GACGUAGGGACCAAGCGUUGUUCGGAUUUACUGGGCGUAAAGGGCGAGUAGGCGGCAAUUCAAGUCAGCUGUGAAAUCUCCGGGCUUAACUCGGAACGGUCAGCUGAUACUGCUUUGCUAGAGUGCAGAAGGGGCAAUCGGAAUUCUUGGUGUAGCGGUGAAAUGCGUAGAUAUCAAGAGGAACACCUGAGGUGAAGACGGGUUGCUGGGCUGACACUGACGCUGAAUCGCGAAAGCUAGGGUAGCAAACGGG
rnacentral:rRNA from 1 species